rnacentral:tRNA from 1 species
GCUAGUGUAGCUUAAUUUUAAAGCAUAGCACUGAAGAUGCUAAGAUGAAAAAUAAAAUUUUCCACAAGCA